AAUCCGUCGACUUUCUAAAUCGUGAGGGU
rnacentral:tRNA from 1 species